rnacentral:piRNA from 1 species
GCGCACAGGUGCACGAUGGACGACGUGCA